rnacentral:tRNA from 1 species
GCCUUCGUGGUCUAGUGGUUAUGACGCUCGCCUUGUCAGCGAGAGGUCGCGGGUUCGAAUCCCGUCGGAGGAA